UACGGGGGGAGCAAGCGUUGUUCGGAUUUACUGGGCGUAAAGGGCGCGUAGGCGGUCAGCACAAGACAGAUGUGAAAUCCCCGGGCUUAACCUGGGAACUGCAUUUGUGACUGCAUAGCUGGAGUACGGCAGAGGGGGAUGGAAUUCCGCGUGUAGCAGUGAAAUGCGUAGAUAUGCGGAGGAACACCGAUGGCGAAGGCAGUCCCCUGGGCCUGUACUGACGCUCAUGCACGAAAGCGUGGGGAGCAAACAGG
rnacentral:rRNA from 1 species